rnacentral:lncRNA from 1 species
CUGAGACAGAGAAAAGAAGAAUGAGAGAGACUCAUAACAGAUGGUAAAGUAGAGGAGGGGUGAGGGAUUUGCCAAGAGGUGACAAAAGUGAAAAAAAAAAAAGAUAAGAAAGCAGGAGGAGAAAAGCAACUGGAGAAAUGUAGAGAAAAGCUAGAUGUACAGAGAGAUGAAGAACAGCAAGGCAGGAAGAGGGGCAGCAAAAAGGGAGGCUCAUCAGAGUGAGGGAGAGGAGGAGGGAUUUGCAGCCAGGACAGACAGAGCAGAGUGGUGCUGGUGGCAAGGAGAACAGAGGAAGAACAACAGCAGGGAACACAGCUGGGAAUCUAGGGUGCCAGAGAGUGGGUACAGAGGGGUAUAACAGGGAAGAGAUAAUUUAACAGGGAGAAAAGAGGAGGUGCAGAGAUGGGAGAAGAGGUGGAAAUAUAUGGAGAUUGAGGAUGAUUGAAAGACUGGGGAGAAGGAGGAACAAGAGGUUAUAUAAGUUCCAAGGAUGAAGCAGAAGAGGUGGAAGAGAAGGAAUAGAGGUAAGAAGGGAAUAAACAGCAGCAGAAGAGAGGGGUACAGAAUGAGGUGCAGAAUCCCAGGGAAAUAGAAAAAAAAGAGCUAGAGAGAGAAGGGGAGAAUGAGAGAUAUUUACAGAAUUAGGGAGGGAAGCACAGUAAUGAAGACAGAGGGGCCAGGCACAGUGACUAAUGCCUGUAAUCCCAGCACUUUAGGAGACUGAGGCAAGGGGAUUGCCUGAGUCCAGGAGUUUGAGACCAGUGUGGGUAACAUAGUGAGACCCCCCAUCUCUUCC